rnacentral:rRNA from 1 species
UACGUAGGGGGCGAGCGUUGUCCGGAAUCAUUGGGCGUAAAGCGCGUGUAGGCGGCUCGUUAAGUCCGGUGUGAAACCUUGGGGCUCAACCCCAAGCCUGCACUGGAUACUGACGAGCUCGAGUCCGGGAGGGGAGAGCGGAAUUCCUAGUGUAGCGGUGAAAUGCGCAGAUAUCAGGAGGAACACCGGUGGCGAAGGCGGGUCUCUGGGCCGAUACUGACGCUGAGGAGCGAAAGCGUGGGGAGCGAACAGG